rnacentral:lncRNA from 1 species
AUGAGGGUCUCGCUGUCCUCUAUGGGGUCUCACUGUCCCUAUGAGGGUCUCGCUGUCCUCUAUGGGGUCUCACUGUCCCCUAUGGGGUCUCAUUGUCCCUAUGAGGGUCUCACUGUCCUCUAUGGGGUCUCAUUGUCCCCUAUAAGGCUUGGGGGGUCUCACUGUCCCUAUGAGGGUCUCACUUUCCCCUAUGGGGUCUCACUGUCCCCUGUGGAGUCUCACUGUCCUCUAUGGGGUCUCACUGUCCCUAUGAGGGUCUCCCUGUGGAUGAGGAGCUGGUUUGGGAUGAAGACCUGCUUUGGGAGCUCAGCGGGUGCCUGCAUGACCUCGUGGGGCCUUCCAACCUUACCCCCUUUGCCCCCCCUCCACCCCCCCACCCCGUACCUGUAGCACAUCGUCACCCCUCCCCGGGGCCGUUGCUCCCCCUGCUGUUGGCGCUGCCAUGCGCAGCUCUGUUCCAGCUGCUGUUGGUGCUGUUGGUGUUGCUGCUGUUGCUGCUGUUGCUGCUGUUGGUGUUGGUGCUGUUGGCGCGGUUGGUGUUGCUGCUGUUGCUGCUGUUGCUGGUGCAGCCAUACGCAGAUCUGUACGAGUUGUUGAUGCUGUUGUUCCUGUUGCUGUUGGUGCUGUUGGUGUUGGUGCUGUUGGUGUUGAUGCUGCUGUCGCUGCUGGUGCUGCCAUACGCGGAUCUGUGCGAGCUGGUGGUGCUGUUGGUGCUGGUGCUGUUGGUGCUGCUGGUGCUGUUGGUGCUGGUGGUGCUGUUGGUGCUGGUGGUGCUGUUGGUGCUGGUGGUGCUGUUGGUGCUGGUGCUGUUGGUGCUGGUGCUGUUGUUGUUGGUGCUGUUGGUGGUGGUGGUGGUGCCACACACAGGUCUGUACGAGCUGCUGGUGCUGUUGGUGCUGUUGCUGUUGGUGUUGGUGUUGGUGCUGUUGCUGCUGGUGCUGCUAGUGCCGUACACAGACCUGUAGGAGCUGUUGGUGUUGGUGCUGUUGUUGCUGUUGUUGCUGCUGGUGGUGUUGUUGCCAUACACAGACCUGUACCAGGUGGGUGUGAGCGGGCAGAAGCGCCGUGUGUGCGCGCGGUCGCGCGAGGCUCCGCACUGCGGGCAGACGUAGCUGCGCAGGAUGGGGCAGAGCACGCGGCCGCGGGCGUCCCGCAGGGCAUGGCUGGAGAACACCGCGCGGGACUCGCCGUUGUGACGGCAGAACGCGCAGCUGGGCGGCGACGGAGGGCGGCCCGACACAACACGGCCUGCUGACACAGCCUGUGGUGACACAACACGUGGUGACACAACACGGCCUGCUGACACAGCCUGUCCUGGUGACACAACACGUGGUGACACAGCCCAUCCUGGUGACACAACACGGCCUGCUGACACAGCCUGUCCUGGUGACACAACCUGUCGUGGUGACACAGCCCGUCCUGGUGACACAACACCUCGUGGUGACACAACACGUCCCGGUGACACAACCUGUCGUGGUGACACAACCGGUCCUGGUGAUACAACCCGUCGUGGUGACACAACCUGUCGUGGUGAUGCAACACGUCGUGGUGACACAGCCCGUCCUGGUGACAGAACCCGUCCCGGUGACACAGCCCGUCCCGGUGACACAACGCGUCCUGCUGACACAACCGGUCGUGGUGAUAAAAUGGGUCCUGCUGACACAACAGGUCGUGGUGACACAACCGGUCCUGGUGAUACAACCCGUCCUGCUGACACAACAGGUCGCGGUGAUGCAGUGCGUCCUGGUGACACGGAGGGUCGCGGUGACGCAACGGGUCGUGGUGACACAACAGCUGCUGGUGACACGAUGGAUCCUGGUGAUGCAGCGGGUCCUGGUGACACCGAGGGUCCCAGUGACACAACGGGUCGCGGUGAUGCAAUGGGUCGCGGUGACACAUCAGGUUGUGGUGACAUGGAGGGGCCUGGUGACACAGCAGGUCCUGGUGACACAGGAGGUCCUGGUGAUGCAACGAGUCGUGGUGACAUGAAGGGUGCUGGUGACACAGCGGGUGUUGGUGAGCUGCUGCGUGGCGCUGGCACGGUGAGCGACGGAGACGCAGCGGGUGACACCGACACACCUGGUGACAGUGACACAGAGUGAUGGCGGCACACCUGGUGACACCGAAUCACCUGGUGACACCGAAUCACCUGGUGACACUGAUGGUGACACCCGGCGACACCCACACAGCAGGUGAUGGUGAUUCACGAGGUGACGGUGGCGCCUGUUGAUGGUGACACCCGGUGACACCCACAC